ACAGGACCAAUUAUUUAUUUUCAGCAGGGUUUAGGUCAGAUAAAAUAUUCCCGGCCAGAUUAAUGAUCUAUUUUAAACAGCGGCUUAUUCACCAACUUUACCAAACAGAGUUACGUGUAUUUUAUUUACCGUCUAAAGUAAUAAGUUGAGCGGGGUAUGGGGUCCUCUCCCAGAAAAUGAUUUAGAAAUGAAGUACAAAAUGAUGCAAUUUCAAGACACUCGUAGGGGAUUUUGACAUUUUGAAUAUCAUACCACAACAAUGAAUUUCCAAAUCCAAACACAAAGAAUUAAUGUAAAGUCUCUGCUUACGUGAGAUUCAUUUUCAUAUGCUCAUGACAACCUUACAAGGAUUAGAUCAUGGGCUUUGGAGCAAAGGAGGUGGGUGGGGGUAGCAACUAUCAAUAUUUAAUAUUUUGGCUAAUAAGUGAAUGAAUUUAAUAAACAAAAACAAAAAUUCAUGAAAAAAAUCAUUCUUCCUGCAUUUCAUCAUUGUUCUUGUAUUUCAUCAUUUUUCCUGUAUUUCAUCAUUUUUCCUGUAUUUCAUCAUUCUUCCUGUAUUUCAUCAUUCUACGGAGCCCCUGGUGGGCCAUUUUAUGUGACCUCUUACGACUUAUUUGUUAUUUCUUUUUUGUUACGACUUAUUUGUCAUUUCUUUUUUGUUACGACUUUUUUGUUACGACUUAUUUAUUGAAUAUUUUUUAAAUAAUGAUAAAGUUUGGAAGGAACAAUUUGCAAUGAUGGAGGACGCAUCAAGCAGCGAGGAUGAAGAUGCGGAUCGAAUACCUCCAAGGCUAGCGUCGGAAGACAGAUUUUCACAGCAAAAUGAUGAACACGAGAUACAGCUUUGAUUAUCGAGAAUGAGUAUCCUGCUUGUUGUCCUUACUUCUCUCUUCGCCGUAUGUACUGGUCAUUUUGAGGCUGAAGAGAUGGACAUUCCCCGGUAUCACACGGUCAUCGCGGACGGAAUAGAAAGGCCGAUCACGUCAUCCAACACUGUGAAUUCGUAUGACAAGCGAAAGAAAGUAUUGUCCAUACAGCACGACUUGAGUGCACUGUCCAAGAUUCUCUCUAGGACCAAUAAAAGGCCGACCUCGUACACACGGAUACCAGCGUCAUGUCCGGCGAUGCACUACCCUUCCAUGAAAGACCUGUACGCCAAGCUUAGUAAAACACAAGUACGACGCCUGCUGUUUCAUUUUGGACGAUGAAAGAAGGGCGAUUAAAAAUGAAACGGGUUCUUCUCUGUGAGCAUUUUACUUCUAUUAAAUGAUUGA